rnacentral:rRNA from 1 species
AUUGAACGCUGGCGGCAUGCCUUACACAUGCAAGUCGAACGGCAGCACGGACUUCGGUCUGGUGGCGAGUGGCGAACGGGUGAGUAAUGCAUCGGAACGUGCCAUUGAGUGGGGGAUAACGUAGCGAAAGUUGCGCUAAUACCGCAUAUUCUGUGAGCAGGAAAGCAGGGGACCGCAAGGCCUUGCGCUCUUUGAGCGGCCGAUGUCAGAUUAGCUAGUUGGUGAGGUAAAGGCUUACCAAGGCGACGAUCUGUAGCGGGUCUGAGAGGAUGAUCCGCCACACUGGAACUGAGACACGGUCCAGACUCCUACGGGAGGCAGCAGUGGGGAAUUUUGGACAAUGGGGGCAACCCUGAUCCAGCCAUGCCGCGUGAGUGAAGAAGGCCUCGGUUGUAAAGCUCUUCGGUCCGGGAGAAAGUCGCAUGGGCCAAUACCCUCGUGUGGAUGACGGUACCGGAAGUAAGAAGACACCGGCUAACUACGU